GAUGAACGCUGGCGGCGUGCCUAAUACAUGCAAGUCGAGCGAACAGAUAAGGAGCUUGCUCCUUUGACGUUAGCGGCGGACGGGUGAGUAACACGUGGGUAACCUACCUAUAAGACUGGGAUAACUUCGGGAAACCGGAGCUAAUACCGGAUAAUAUUUCGAACCGCAUGGUUCGAUAGUGAAAGAUGGUUUUGCUAUCACUUAUAGAUGGACCCGCGCCGUAUUAGCUAGUUGGUAAGGUAACGGCUUACCAAGGCGACGAUACGUAGCCGACCUGAGAGGGUGAUCGGCCACACUGGAACUGAGACACGGUCCAGACUCCUACGGGAGGCAGCAGUAGGGAAUCUUCCGCAAUGGGCGAAAGCCUGACGGAGCAACGCCGCGUGAGUGAUGAAGGUCUUCGGAUCGUAAAACUCUGUUAUUAGGGAAGAACAUACGUGUAAGUAACUGUGCACGUCUUGACGGUACCUAAUCAGGAAGCCACGGCUAACUACGUG
rnacentral:rRNA from 1 species